UGGGGAAUUUUGGACAAUGGGCGCAAGCCUGAUCCAGCAAUGCCGCGUGCAGGAUGAAGGCCUUCGGGUUGUAAACUGCUUUUGUACGGAACGAAAAGGCUCUGGUUAAUACCUGGGGCUCAUGACGGUACCGUAAGAAUAAGCACCGGCUAACUACGUGCCAGCAGCCGCGGUAAUACAGAGGGUGCAAGCGUUAAUCGGAAUUACUGGGCGUAAAGCGCGCGUAGGUGGUUUGUUAAGUUGAAUGUGAAAUCCCCGGGCUCAACCUGGGAACUGCCUUUGUGACUGCAUAGCUAGAGUACGGUAGAGGGGGAUGGAAUUCCGCGUGUAGCAGUGAAAUGCGUAGAUAUGCGGAGGAACACCGAUGGCGAAGGCAAUCCCCUGGACCUGUACUGACGCUCAUGCACGAAAGCGUGGGGAGCAAACA
rnacentral:rRNA from 1 species